AUUGAACGCUGGCGGCAUGCUUUACACAUGCAAGUCGGACGGCAGCGGGGUAGUGCUUGCACUACUGCCGGCGAGUGGCGAACGGGUGAGUAAUAUAUUGGAACGUACCGGGUAAUGGGGGAUAACCAAUCGAAAGAUUGGCUAAUACCGCAUACGCUCUGAGGAGGAAAGCAGGGGACCUUCGGGCCUUGCGUUAUUCGAGCGGCCAAUAUCUGAUUAGCUAGUUGGUGGGGUAAAGGCCCACCAAGGCGACGAUCAGUAGUGGGUCUGAGAGGAUGAUCAGUCACACUGGGACUGAGACACGGCCCAGACUCCUACGGGAGGCAGCAGUGGGGAAUUUUGGACAAUGGGCGCAAGCCUGAUCCAGCCAUGCCGCGUGUCUGAAGAAGGCCUUCGGGUUGUAAAGGACUUUUGUUAGGGAAGAAAAAGGAGCGGUUAAUACCCGUUUCUGCUGACGGUACCUAAAGAAUAAGCACCUGCUAACUACGUGCCAGCAGCCGCGGUAAUACGUAGGGUGCGAGCGUUAAUCGGAAUUACUGGGCGUAAAGCGAGCGCAGACGGUUACUUAAGCAGGAUGUGAAAUCCCCGGGCUCAACCUGGGAACUGCGUUCUGAACUGGGUAGCUAGAGUAUGUCAGAGGGGGGUAGAAUUCCACGUGUAGCAGUGAAAUGCGUAGAGAUGUGGAGGAAUACCGAUGGCGAAGGCAGCCCCCUGGGAUAAUACUGACGUUCAUGCUCGAAAGCGUGGGUAGCAAACA
rnacentral:rRNA from 1 species